GUCCUUUGCCACGUCAAGCCUCCAGCAAGGUGGACGCAUCGGAGUGACUUUUUUUUGUGGUCUUUUUUUAAAUUUUUUUAACUAGAAUGGGGAAAAGUUAGUGUUUGGCUGGCUGGUACCAUCAAAGUGAGGAGCCAAAGAUGUAAAAAAAACCUAAAAACAAAAAAAAAAACCUAAGAGGCUCUAAUCCAAGAUGCGAGGAAUGCGCCUCACAGCGGGAAGCGGGAGGGGACCUCUCAUAAUCUGCCAAUCAGUGGCUAUUACCUCCGUCUCACCUCUCCUCCUCCUCUUCUUCCUCCUCCUCCCCCUCAUCUAUAGCCCAGCUCUGGUAAGUAGAAGCAUCCACACUUUUUUAGAAAAAGAUAAAAAAAAAUAACCCAAAAGGACUGACCAGCGAGCAUCCUUUGAGCCCGGCCCGCCUGCCCAGUGUUCAGACUACCUGUUCAGGAAGUAGUGGUUGUACAGUAGUCUGCACAUUGGUUAGGCUGGCUUCGGGGAAGCACGGGACCAGAAGGACCAGCAGAUGGAGACGUAUAAAACCACCUCACCAAUGUACCACCACCACCGCAAAAAUCUUGAAUACUGAUGCCUGGCCUUAAAUGCAUCAAAAAACAACAACGACAACAAUGGAGAACCUGCGGCAGUGAACUUGCUCUUAAUGUCAUAAAUUAUUAUCAUGUAUUUGUUUGUGAUGAUCGACCUAUAAAACGUGAAAUAAAGAUGCUUCCAUUUGUAA